UACGAAGGGGGCUAGCGUUGUUCGGAUUCACUGGGCGUAAAGGGUGCGUAGGCGGGUCUUUAAGUCAGGGGUGAAAUCCUGGAGCUCAACUCCAGAACUGCCUUUGAUACUGAAGAUCUUGAGUGCGGGAGAGGUGAGUGGAACUGCGAGUGUAGAGGUGAAAUUCGUAGAUAUUCGCAAGAACACCAGUGGCGAAGGCGGCUCACUGGCCCGAUACUGACGCUGAGGCACGAAAGCGUGGGGAGCAAACAGG
rnacentral:rRNA from 1 species